AUGGCAGAUGGCUUAUCCACCUUUUGGGGUCCUGUCACAUCCAAAGAUUGGUGUGAGCAAAAUUAUGUCUACUCUUCUUACAUUGCCGAGUUCUUCGACACUAUAUCCAAUAUCCCAGGCAUCUUGUUGGCACUCAUUAGCCUUAUCAAUGCUUUGAGGCAACGUUUUGAUAAGAGAUUUAGCGUUCUUCACAUCUCCAAUAUGAUACUUGCUAUUAGGAGCAUGCUUUACCAUGCCACUUUGCAAGGUCUGUAA
rnacentral:lncRNA from 1 species